UGGGGAAUUUUGGACAAUGGGCGAAAGCCUGAUCCAGCAAUGCCGCGUGCAGGAAGAAGGCCUUCGGGUUGUAAACUGCUUUUGUACGGAACGAAAAGGCUCUUUCUAAUAAAGAGGGCCCAUGACGGUACCGUAAGAAUAAGCACCGGCUAACUACGUGCCAGCAGCCGCGGUAAUACGUAGGGUGCGAGCGUUAAUCGGAAUUACUGGGCGUAAAGCGUGCGCAGGCGGUUCUAUAAGACAGAUGUGAAAUCCCCGGGCUCAACCUGGGAAUGGCAUUUGUGACUGUAGAGCUAGAGUACGGUAGAGGGGGAUGGAAUUCCGCGUGUAGCAGUGAAAUGCGUAGAUAUGCGGAGGAACACCGAUGGCGAAGGCAAUCCCCUGGACCUGUACUGACGCUCAUGCACGAAAGCGUGGGGAGCAAACAGGAUUAGAUACCCCUGUAGUCCCUGAGCGGGCUGGCAAGGCGCAU
rnacentral:rRNA from 1 species